AUACUAUCUCCAGCACCCUUGGACAUGUGAGGCUCUGCAUUUUAAGGAGUUUGGCUUCCUACCUUGCUUGCCAUUUAUGAGUUCCCACAGCAGUCCUGAUGGAGUUCUGGUGGAGUCACCGGGUAAGCUACCUCAUGCCACACACUAUUCAGAGAGAAGGAAGUGGGCACAGAGGCCUGCCCAUGAAGAGAUCCCACCCACGGAUUGGACAUUGUCAAAGUGGGGAGGUUUGAAAAAAAAUUCAGAUGUGGAAAUAUAAACAACCAGCAUUCCGAAUUCCCUCUGUGUUGUGCACUUAUCCUCUUGUGUGCUCUCUUUAAAAGACUCAAACACCAUCUGCUCAAGGACACUCAAGGUCAAACAGAAUGAAUGUGCUUCUGCUCAACGUGGCUCCGUCACCUUUUUCUCUCCCCGACGUAGGCUGGAUUCCGAGUCACUGUAUGGAUGCAACUGUCAGUUAGCAAAAUCACCUUCGCAAAGGACUUUCUGUAAGGAACCCAACCUCAGCCUACGAAAACUGUGUUUCUGACCAGGGAAAGCAGAGAGGCAGGAAGUAGGGAGUCACUUCCACUCAUAGGCGGGGCUCCAAGAGGAAGUCAAAUGCCUAACAAACCGCCAUUUCCUUGCUCUAGUCUUGAGAUGAAGCAAACACUUUGUCGAG
rnacentral:lncRNA from 1 species